UGUGUGGAGUUUUGUUUACCGUAGAUAGCUUAUGCUGAUGAUCCCAUUGUUAUAAUCUUUUCUACUAUUUCAGAUAAUCGAGAAACUAUCAGUCACUGCUCCAUCUGCUGCAGUAAAGCUUAAGGUAUUGAAGGAUGUUGCAGAAGAGUACAAUGUGGAGUGGGAUUCCUCCAAAACUGAAGCAGAAUUCAGUAAAAAGCCCGAAGAUCUAUUGAAUGGACCCAAGCAAGUAUACGGAGGCCCGGCACUUCUCAAGCACCGGCCAAACACGGUCGUCCUGAAUAUUCAACUUCUACCGAAGCAGCACAUCCAACUAUCUCUGCACAGAGGAAAGAAGACCCAGAGUUUCAUCAAUCUCCAAGCCCCGGCAACAUCACUUCCUUGUUGGGUCAGGAUGGGGUAAUUAAGUCAACAAACAGGAAUGAGAAUCCAACACCAGCUAAUGAUCUAAAAAGGGAUGCAAGGCCGCAAUCAUCUGAAAUAUUGGAGAAAGCUCGGACCGCUAUUGCUUCUGCAGAGCGUGCAACAGCUACUGUCCGUGCAGCUGCGCAAUUGGCCAACGUGAAAUUCAGCACACCCAAACUUGAAGAACGAAAGAGCUAGAAGGGCGAGAUAAAGUGAUUUUGCAUUAACGACCCAUCAUAAUUUUACUGCAACAGUAUCUCCUCUCUCAAGAAAGCAGAAAAUGUGAGUUGAUGUUGGUAAUAUACUCUUGACUCUCUUGGUUUAUGAAAAGUGUAUAUCCCGCUGUGAAUUAUUGUACCUGGGGUUAUUAUGUCAGUCCGGUGCUGUUCAAACCAAACCAAACUGAGCCUUAUGUCCCAAUCACUUGGGGUCGGCUAUAUGAAUCAUUUUCCUCCAUUCCGGUGCCAUUCAAAAAAAAAAUUUUAUGUCAGUCCGGUGCUGCUGUAUCUUAUUAUGUUUUUUACAAUAUGAGAAGUCCUAUACAUGGACCACAAUGUAUACAUAUGUAAAUCUCUCGGGCGAUCUUUUCCAAGGUUAA